CGUAGGGUCCAAGCGUUAUCCGGAAUCACUGGGCGUAAAGCGUGCGUAGGUGGCGUGUUAAGUGAGAUGUGAAACCGUGUGGCUCAACCAUACGUUGUGUCUCAUACUGGCAUGCUAGAGGACAGCAGAGGCAAGCGGAAUCUGUAGUGUAGCAGUGAAAUGCGUAGAUAUUACAAGGAACACCAAUGGCGAAGGCAGCUUGCUGGGCUACUCCUGACACUGAGGUACGAAAGCGUGGGGAGCGAACAGGAUUAGAUACCCUGGUAGUCCACGCCGUAAACGAUGCAUACUAGCCGUAUGGGGUAUCCGACCCCUGUGCGGCGAAGCUAACGCGAUAAGUAUGCCGCCUGGGAAGUACGGCCGCAAGGACUA
rnacentral:rRNA from 1 species